AACAUCGAUCACAUUUUGACCAAAAAAACAUCGAUCACAGAUCUCUCUCUCUCUCUCUCUGUCCCCUCAAUAACAUCGAUCACAGAUCUCUCUCUCUCUCUCUCUCUCCCCCCCGCCCUCCCUCUUUUCUCUCUCUUUCUCCCCUCGAUAACAGAUCUUCACGUCUUUGUCUCUGCUUCCAAUUCCGGCGAACACCGGCAAGGCGCUAUCGGAUCUUGCACCAUCGUCGUCACCUUCGAUUUCCAGAAAAUGAAACUGAUCAAAAAAUUACAGAUCGAAUGAAAAUGAGAGAGGAGCAGGCGUCGGCAGCCGUCUGAUCGCUGCUUGAUGAUUGUGAUCGGAAAGUUGAGAGGAGGAUCGCGACGAUGAUGAAGGUGCACGGCGAGGCAAGGCAGCCCAGGCAUCGACGACGUCGUCUAGGGCUCAGUUUGGUGUUGACUCCUUCAAGCCUCCUGAUUUUCAAGCCACCUGAUUCUCAUGAAGGGGCUGUUUGGAUGAUGGCAAUGAGUCUUCGAUGGUGAGAUUAGGCGUAGGGAAGAGCGAGAGUACUAAUUCCAGAGAUCAAAGCUUUGUUACACGUUCAAAACCCGGAAUGAUGUAUUGUUACAGUUUUUAGAUUAGGUAGAAACUCAUUUGUUGAUAUUUGUCAAUUUGAUAGCUUUGGUUUGAUUUUGGUAAUUCCUAUGGAUUUUACGGCUUACUCUAGUGAAUGAUGCUCAUGGAUACAAGUUAUGUUGAUCGAUUAUGAUAUGUGCAAUACGUGCAAGGUUGAGCAUUGCAAGCUUUCGACAUUGUAAAUUUAUAGUUGUUUUAAUGUUUCA